AUGCCCCUAACGAUUGCGGCGUUUCUCUACAGCGUGUCCAUGGGCCCAGCGCCUGGCGUGUCCUCCUGGGAGCUUGCUGGACGCAUGACCAGGAUUCUGGGAGGGCAGAGGGCAGACCACAGGCACCCAGGAUAACUCAGUACACAUGGGUUCUCAGCUUCCUGUUCACAGAGAAACCUCAGACAAGAAGCACGUCGCCCAUUUUUCAUCAAGGCCAAUCCCAGACCACGAGAACGCUUUCUCUGCGUCAGCCCCAGCACCCCAGCGCCCCUGCCUCCAGGCGCCCACGGCCUCCGCACUCCAGUGGCCCAGACCUGGCUGAGGCAGCUCCCGUGGUAGAUCAAGCCUCACAGGCGGCUGGAAGAGCCAGUUCUGGGCUGGGCCUGUGGGAACAGGCGUCUGUUAGUCAGGGUUUCAGGAAUGCGGCCUUCGGAGCCUGAAGCGGGGAAUGGCGGCUUUGGGCUCUCAAGGGGCAGGCGGUAAGCCUGGGAGGCCAGGCCGGGCUGACCCAAGGGGAGGGGACCCUCUCCGCCCACUGCCGCUGGCCCUGGGCGGGUCCAGAGCCUGGGGGUCUCCAGAGGCACAAUCCCUUAUCUCCGGGAGAAGGCAGAGGGCAGAGGCAGGAAACAAAUCUCCUGUCAAAAUUCCUAAUUAAAAUACUAAGUAAGUGAUGGCUCCAGGCUCGGACACCAGACACUGAGAGAAUAAGGGAAAAUCAGCCCGGACAGCCAGGGCUAACAAGACGGUUAAUUACAGCCCGAGAAGAACGUUAACGGUAUUAAUUCUAACCACAAAGGAGGAAAAGAGAAGACCGCCCAAGAAGGAGAAGGAGGGUCCCUUUCCCAGAUGAGGCUGCCCUAACCACUGGGGCCUCGGCCCCUCCCAGGCCUGAGGGAGCCCAGCUCUGCCUGGCCCCACCCACCUCACCCCAACCCUGGCUGGCCCCGCCCACCCUUGCCUCAGCCCUGCCCGGCCCCUCCCACCCUUGCCCAGCCCCUGCUUGGCCCCUCCCACUCGUCCCAACCCUGCCUGGCACCGCCAACCCUUGCCCCAGCCCCUGCCUCGUCCUGCCCACCUCACCCCAGCACUUCCUAUGGUACUCACGCCU